GGCGCUUCCCAUCCAGGCUGAGCUGGAUCAUCUGAGGGCCUCCAGCCACCCGUUUUCCCUUGACCACUAGGGGCUCUGGCUGGGACUUUAGUUCCUCGUCCUCCAGCACUUGCACAGGGCCUCCCUUAACAAUGCUGCCUCCGAGGAAGAGCUGUCCUGUGAGGCGGGGUCUCUGUGGGUCAGAGAUGUCAUACUGCCUCAGGUCCCCAUGCAGCCAGUUGCUGAAGUAGAGGAAGCGGUCGUCCAGGGAGAGCAGGAUGUCGGUGAUCAGGCCUGGCAUUUCGGGCAGCAGCCAGCCCUUCACUUUCUUGGGGGGCACCUGGAUCACCUUC
rnacentral:lncRNA from 1 species